rnacentral:rRNA from 1 species
AUUACUCCUACGGGAGGCAGCAGUAGGGAAUUUUCCACAAUGGACGAAAGUCUGAUGGAGCAACGCCGCGUGAACGAUGAAGGCCUUCGGGUUGUAAAGUUCUGUUGUCAGGGACGAACAAGUACCGUUCGAAUAGGGCGGUACCUUGACGGUACCUGACGAGAAAGCCACGGCUAACUACGUGCCAGCAGCCGCGGUAAU